UAUACCCAACGAGGAAAAUCUGAAAGACGCAUAACUUCAUUAAUUCUUUAAAAAUCAGCCCUUUGCCUAAUUCCUCUGAAAAAAUUUGUGGUAGCUUCCUUCUACCAACUGGACACUACCACCAAGCACACUCCACUCUGGGCCACCCCUCCCCCCGCGUGAAACUAUGCUUUUCCUGAAACCUCCAUCAUUCCCUAUGGGGAAAAUCUGAAAGACGCGCAAACUUCAAAAAUUCACCAACAGUCAGCAGUUUACCCAGUUCCUUUGAAAUGUUUGUGGUAGCUUCCACUCAUUGGGCACUAUAACCCUCACCCACUCUUUUGACCAUGUGACACAUUUUUAAAUCUGAAUUCAUUUGGAUUCAGAUUCGGAUUAAUUCGGAUACAAAACAAAACUGGGGUGAUUCGGAAGGCUUAAUUUCAGACAAAAUACAAAAAUCAAAACAGAAAAAAUACAAAUCGUGCAAGCCUACACACAGGGUCUCAGGGCUGACAGCACACGACCUAUAGAAAAUAAUGUUUUAAGUAGGAAAUGUGGGUGCAGCUCCCCCUAGUGGCAGCCCAUGUUCAUUGCACAUUUGCUCAAAUGUAGAUCCACCUGUUUUUGUCAUACUUCUCAGGUAAUGUUAGAAGCCCUGGUCCAUUUGGAAGAAGUCCAAGCUGUGGUUGCUUUCCAUGACAGUCUAAUUUCAAGAGGAGUGGUUCAUUUAGUUACAGAAUAGCAAUGACUGCCCAACAAUCAAGAACAAGCAUUAUUCCAACUAGCCUCACUAUGCAACACCCUGGAGAGGAAACGAAAGCCCACUUUGCCAUCUUCAUGGACAACAUGCUGCUGAACAGGCAUGCAGAAUCAUCUUUUCCUCUCAAAGGAGCAGAGUGUUGGAAUGUACCAUUCUUUGGAAUGUACCACCCACAAAAGCCAGGACAGAUAAAUGUGGUCUUCGGUGCCAACAUCUAGUUUCAAGGAACCUCUCUGAAUAGAGUGCUUCCCAUGGGACCAGAGUAUGGGACCUCAUCAUCUUGAUGCCAGCCACUCUACUGACACAGAAAACUGGGGCAUGGACAGUAUCCCCAAGUCAGUUUGGCACCAAGGAGCGCUACAAAUGACAGUGGAGGCAAGUCCAAACACUGGCCAACACCUUUUGGAGAUAAUAGUACCUUAUGUCCUUACAGACCCAAAGCAAGUGGCAAGACAGAAAAAGCAACUUCAAGGAAGGUCCUGCUCUGAGAUGAGUCUGGUUGCAAUGGAAGGUCCUGAUUCAGGACAAAGGGACUGAGCACAAUGCCUACCCUAUAGGAAUUGUAACCAAAACCAUCCCCACUGAGAACAGCAGUGUGUAAGAUUGAGGUGAAACUCUCACCAGACUGGUAAGAUUGCUUCUUUAUUAUGAAGAAAACCAGAUGUGAUGUAAAUAAGUUGUAGAAUGUUAGUCAAGUUAUUAGAACUUUAAUACACAGAAAUGGAAGUAAAACAGCAUUCUAUCAUA